AUGGGGAAGAUGGAUAGAGAAACAGGAACUUUAAUUGGGGAACAAAUUGGAAAAGUUUUGGAUAUGGAUCUAGAUGAGAAUGGUCUUGCAAUAGGGCAAUAUAUGAGGAUCAAAGUACGAAUGGACACCACUCUACCACUGAUGAGAGGAAUUACUUUUGAUGACGAGGAUGAAGAGGAGCCGGACAAGAGGAAGGAAACUAUGGUAAUAGAGGAAAAGAAAGAUGCAGUACAGGAGAGAGUGGUUUCCUUUGAAUAUGAACACUUGGCUGACUUCUGUUACAACUGUGGGAUCAUUGGCCAUAGUGAAAAAGUUUGCCCAACCGAAAAAAAAGAGAAGGAGGUAGGCAGUAUGGUCCAUGGCUGUGAGCAGUAA
rnacentral:rRNA from 1 species